UACAGAGGGUGCGAGCGUUAAUCGGAAUUACUGGGCGUAAAGCGUGCGUAGACGGCUAUCUAAGUCGGGUGUGAAAGCCCCGGGCUCAACCCUGGAAUUGCCUUUAAGACUGCAUCGCUUGAACAUCGGAGAGGUAAGUGGAAUUCCGAGUGUAGAGGUGAAAUUCGUAGAUAUUGGGAAGAACACCGGUGGCGAAGGCGGCGACCUGGUCCAUUACUGACGCUGAGGCGCGACAGCGUGGGGAGGCGAACAGG
rnacentral:rRNA from 1 species